GUAGGAGCGAGCGUUGUCCGGAAUCAUUGGGCGUAAAGAGCGUGUAGGCGGCUUGUUAAGUCUUGCGUGAAAUCUCGGGGCUCAACCCCGAGCGGUCGUGAGAAACUGGCAGGCUAGAGUGCGGGAGAGGAGAGUGGAAUUCCUGGUGUAGCGGUGAAAUGCGCAGAUAUCAGGAAGAACACCCGUGGCGAAGGCGGCUCUCUGGAACGCAACUGACGCUGAGACGCGAAAGCGUGGGGAGCAAACAGG
rnacentral:rRNA from 1 species